rnacentral:rRNA from 1 species
GUCUUGGGACACUGUCAGGUGGGAAGUUUGAUUGGGACGUUCGCCUGCGAAAAGGUAACGGGGUCGCUAAAAGGUUCUCUCAGAACGGUCGGAGAUCGUACGUAGUGUGUAAGGGCAAAAUAGAGAUGGAUGGCAAGACAUGCAGGUCGAGCAAGGAUGAAAAUCGGACUUAGUGAUCCGGUGGUACUGCGUGGAAGGGCCAUCGCGCAACGGAUAAAAGCUACACUGGUAAUAACAGUCUUAUCUCCCCCAAGAGUCCACAUCGACGGGGAGGUUUGGCACCUAGAUGUCGGCUCAUCACAUCCUGGGGCUG